CUUCUGCCAAAACCCAAUUUU
rnacentral:rRNA from 1 species